rnacentral:rRNA from 1 species
GGGGAAUUUUGGACAAUGGGGGCAACCCUGAUCCAGCCAUGCCGCGUGAGUGAAGAAGGCCUUCGGGUUGUAAAGCUCUUUCGGCCGGGAAGAAAUCGUGCAGGCUAAUACCCUGUAUGGAUGACGGUACCGGAAUAAGAAGCACCGGCUAACUACGUGCCAGCAGCCGCGGUAAUACGUAGGGUGCAAGCGUUAAUCGGAAUUACUGGGCGUAAAGCGUGCGCAGGCGGUUUUGUAAGACAGUGGUGAAAUCCCCGGGCUCAACCUGGGAACUGCCAUUGUGACUGCAAGGCUGGAGUGCGGCAGAGGGGGAUGGAAUUCCGCGUGUAGCAGUGAAAUCCGUAGAGAUCGAGAGGAAUACUCAUUGCGAAGGCGACCUGCUGGAACAUUACUGACGCUGAGGUGCGAAAGCGUGGGGAGCAAACA